GUGGUCAACUACCCUGUGGACCGCAAUAACCUCGGGAAACUGAGGCUAAUAGCGGAUAGCGCUCUCGAGCUGGAACAGCCGGGAGCGUGAAACGUUCCGGCGCCACAGGAUGUGACUGCGGCCGAUUAGGUAGAUGGUGGGGUAACGGCCCACCAUGCCGAUAAUCGGUACGGGUUGUGAGAGCAAGAGCCCGGAGACGGACUCUGAGACAAGAGUCCGGGCCCUACGGGGCGCAGCAGGCGCGAAACCUUUACACUGCGCGACAGCGCGAUAGGGGGACACCGAGUGCGAGGGCAUAGAGCCCUCGCUUUUGUGUACCGUAAGGUGGUACACGAAUAAGGGCUGGGCAAGACCGGUGCCAGCCGCCGCGGUAACACCGGCAGCCCAAGUGAUGGCCGCUAUUAUUGGGCCUAAAGCGUCCGUAGCCGGCCGUUCAGGUCCGUCGGGAAAUCCACUGGCUCAACCAGUGGGCGUCCGGCGGAAACCGUUCGGCUUGGGACAGGGAGACCAGAGGGGUACGUCCGGGGUAGGAGUGAAAUCCCGUAAUCCUGGACGGACCAUCGGUGGCGAAAGCGCCUCUGGAGAACUGAUCCGACGGUGAGGGACGAAAGCUGGGGUCUCGAACCGGAUUAGAUACCCGGGUAGUCCCAGCCGUAAACGAUGCUCGCUAGGUGUGGCGC
rnacentral:rRNA from 1 species